GAAGAGCGGCGGACGGGUGAGUAACGCGUGGGUAACCUGCCCUGUACACACGGAUAACAUACCGAAAGGUAUGCUAAUACGGGAUAAUAUGUUUUGAUCGCAUGGUCGAAAUAUCAAAGCUCCGGCGGUACAGGAUGGACCCGCGUCUGAUUAGCUAGUUGGUGAGGUAAUGGCUCACCAAGGCGACGAUCAGUAGCCGACCUGAGAGGGUGAUCGGCCACAUUGGAACUGAGACACGGUCCAAACUCCUACGGGAGGCAGCAGUGGGGAAUAUUGCACAAUGGGCGAAAGCCUGAUGCAGCAACGCCGCGUGAGCGAUGAAGGCCUUCGGGUCGUAAAGCUCUGUCCUCAAGGAAGAUAAUGACGGUACUUGAGGAGGAAGCCCCGGCUAACUACGUGCCAGCAGCCGCGGUAAUACGUAGGGGGCUAGCGUUAUCCGGAAUUACUGGGCGUAAAGGGUGCGUAGGUGGUUUCUUAAGUCAGAGUGAAAGGCUACGGCUCAACCGUAGUAAGCCUUUGAAACUGAGAAACUUGAGUGCAGAGAGGAGAGUAAAUUCCUAGUGUAGCGGUGAAAUGCGUAGAUAUUAGGAGGAAUACCAGUUGCGAA
rnacentral:rRNA from 1 species